GUCGUCCUUGUCGUCUCUGAUAGCCUUCUUCUGUUGUUAACAACUACACCUCACUGAUAAGAAUCUCUAAACCAAAACAAAACAAAAUUGCCAGCUCAUUUCUGUCGCCUCUCUUCUCUCUCUCUCUUUCUAAAUCUCCGGCUCCUUACUCUGACCCGCUGGAAAAAGUCACCAAUGGGGGACGAUUACUUGCAACUCUUUGUGGAGGAGACCACUUUCUAUAACCGCAUUGUUUUGCGCUUCUUGUUGCCCUCUUCUUUGUGGGAACCACUCCCGUAUGUCCUCCAAACUUGGCUUCGUAACUACCUUGCUGGUUCUCUCCUUUACCUCAUUUCUGGAUUCUUGUGGUGCUUCUACAUCUACUACUACAAACGAAACGUUUACGUCCCGAAAGAUGCCAUUCCUUCUACAAAGGCCAUGCUGUUGCAAAUAUACGUUGCUAUGAAAGCCAUGCCUUGGUACUGUGCCCUUCCAACCCUUUCUGAGUACAUGGUUGAAAAUGGAUGGACUAAGUGUUUCUCUAGAGUAACUGAUGUUGGUUGGCUUGGCUACCUGGUGUAUCUAGCCAUUUAUCUAGUAUUUGUGGAAUUUGGGAUUUAUUGGAUGCAUAGAGAGUUGCAUGACAUUAAAUUUUUGUACAAGCAUCUUCAUGCAACCCAUCACAUCUACAACAAGCAGAAUACUCUUUCUCCAUUUGCUGGUUUGGCAUUUCACCCACUAGAUGGUAUACUGCAGGCAGUGCCACAUGUUAUAGCACUCUUUAUAAUUCCAACUCAUUUUACCACACAUAUAGGGCUAUUAUUUCUCGAAGCUAUAUGGACCGCAAACAUUCAUGAUUGCAUCAAUGGCAAGAUAUGGCCUGUGAUGGGUGCUGCCUACCACACCAUUCAUCACACCACAUACCGUCAUAACUAUGGCCAUUAUACAAUAUGGAUGGAUUGGAUGCUUGGAACCCUUAGUGAUCCUAUUGAUGGGAAAACGAUGUGAUAUGCAUGUGCUUGUCUUAAAUCAAUCAUCUUCGAAAAUAUCCGAUGUUUAUCUUGGUUAGACUUGCCCUUUGGUUGGUUUUUGUUCUGAUGUACUUGAUCUUCUGCAUAUAAAUCAUGUUGAUUUUAGUGUUCUUUAGUGUCCAUGGCUGCAAAGUGGUGUUAGAGAAGAAAUAAGCUUUUCCAGUGCCAGGGGGAGGUUUCCACCCCUUAGUAUUAGUUUUACUGCUAGUCCUAAGUGCCAGGACCAUGAGGCUCUUUUAAAAAAGUUCCAAUGUCCAAUUUUUGGAUCAUAUUUUGAGUGAAGGAUAUUUUUCUCCAAACUUGUAUUAGUCUAUCAGAAAAUAAAAAAGGUGCCUAGAUCUUGAUUCUUUCUUA